rnacentral:rRNA from 1 species
UUUCCCGGUUGAUCCCGCCGGACCUAACUGCUAUCGGAUUGGUACUAAGCCAUGCGAGUCGUUGUAGCAAUACAAGGCGGACGGCUCAGUAACACGUAGUCAACCUAACCUAUGGACGUGGAUAACCUCGGGAAACUGAGAAUAAACCGCGAUAGAUCAUUAUGCCUGGAAUGGCUUAUGGUCCAAACAAUUUAUUGCCGUAGGAUGGGACUGCGGCCUAUCAGCUUGUUGGUGAGGUAAUGGCCCACCAAGGCUAUAACAGGUACGGGCUCUGAGAGGAGAAGCCCGGAGAUGGGUACUGAGACACGGACCCAGGCCCUAUGGGGCGCAGCAGGCGAGAAACCUUAGCAAUGUGCGAAAGCACGACUAGGUUAAUCCGAGUGAUUUCUGUUGAAGAAAUCUUUUGUCAGUCGUAAAACCACAGACGAAUAAGGGGUGGGCAAGUCUGGUGUCAGCCGCCGCGGUAAUACCAGCACCUCGAGUGGUCAGGAGGUUUAUU